rnacentral:ncRNA from 1 species
CCAUUUGUAUCACCAGAUGACCCUAGGACUCUGAAUAAAGUAGCGAGUCCGACAAUGUAGCAAAGCCAGAUAUAGAAUCCGGCGGGGAACGAAUCGUGAGAUAAAACCCUCCUGACAACCACAACUCGGGUAAGCGC